AACCAUCAACCAUGUACUCUGUCACAGUAGCUAAUGUUCCCCCAGGUCCAUCUUGCACCACACCAUAAAAUGCUACCACAUUGGGAUGGUGAAGCUUUGAAAGGAUUUCAGCUUCGUGCCAAAACUCUAUGGUCUGAAGAUGGUAAGAAUAUAUAUUAUUUACUAUCAACAUAAUAUAUGAAAAAAGGGAAGAUGGGACUUAAUGAUAACUCAUAUACUUUGAGUUUAAGCCCAAGUAGACUAAUAAACUCACUUCCUGGAUCAGAAUUAGAAAAUAGCUAAUUAGCCAAUUAGCAUUAUUUUUCUUUUAGGAAUAUAUAAACAUGGAUCAACAGUUACCAAUCUCUCUUGCUCAGAUGAUCGACCAGUGAAGCAAAUCUUCUUUAGCCUCUUAAUGGCAACAUCUGAACCUCUCCAUUUGCCAUGAUAUACAGUUCCGAAAGUACCAGAACCUAGUUCUCUCAGCUCUUCAAGAUCUUCAUUUUUUAUAAUCUGAUAUACAUUAACAGAGAAAAGAAGAAAAAGAACAAAAGAAUUAAGCAAGGAAGGCUGAUUUAUAGUGGUCGAAAGCAAGUGUAAUUACUCUCAAGCUGAAGGAUGAAAAAAGAUAAGUACCCAGAUAAGGAUCUGCUUAUAUCUGUAAGUGUCAUACCUGCAAGGUAUCAAUGUCAAAAUCUACCACAGAUAGACCAACAGGAGGUAGGCCACUGUUCCUGUUAUCUAAGUUCCCACCCUAAAGCAUCAAAGUCAAGUUCAGUUAGCAGGCAAGAAAAUGAGCUUUUAAUCAAAUUACUGAGUAGAGAUACCUCAGCGCGUGGCUCAGGAGUUUUCAGGUUAUCCAUCACAACACCAAACUGCAUACUUUCACUGCCCUUCACAUGGGAAUGAUCAAAGCCUGAAAGAAUUGUGGAGUCAGCUGCUCUUAAUCCUGCUAAAACUUUUUGAUUGGUACCUUCAACAAAAUUGGGACGGGAAUACUUUUGGUCCAUUGAAACUCCCUCUGUUUUCAAACGAGCAAAAUGAUAAGAAUUCUGAUCUCCUUCUUUGAAUUUUGCAAUUAGAGGUGGGGUACCAAGAUGAUCCUGGUCCAUAAGAGAAAAAUCUUUUUGAACAAACUCUUCCUGUGCCAAUUUCUGAAAAUACGACCAGUGCUUAGGCUCAUGAUUUUCCAUGAUCACACUCAUGCCAGCUCCAUCUUUGUGCAAUGGAUUAACACCAGCCCUAUCCUCAGUAAGUAUCCCUCUGGAGAAUAUUUCGGAAAGAAAAUCACGAGGGAAUCUGUCAUUUAUAUCUAUGCUGAUGUCUCCUGGCUUCGUUGCUGAAACAAAAAUAGGGGGUACUUCUUGAGAAACAUCAUUAGUUGAGCUCUCUGUCAAAGAAUAUGGGAGAGAAUAUCCAACAUUUUCAUUACUAGCAAAAACCUUACCUGUUAUCUCACCCAACUUAUGCCCUGGGUGAUCAGAAACAGGAUCUCUAUGGUACAUACCAGGGGUUGUUUGGGGUGCAGCUGGAUUUCCAAAUCUAGCUUCACCUGUUUCUUCAACGGGUUUUUUGUGGUUACCUGCAGCACAAUCAUGAUCAGCCUUAAGCACAGCAUUUCUGUUCACAGAAUCAUUAUCAUUCACAUCAUCUGGAGCUGCAAGCUCUAUGUACUUCUGGGGUUGGGCAAGUCCAUUGAUGGGUUGAGGGUCUAUAAGCAAUGGUUCUGCAGUUGUACUGGGAUCUUCAGUUUGGGGAAGCAGAUUACUUUGGAUCAAUUUUUCAGCAGAUGCUGUAGUUGACUUCUGUUCGGCGAUAUCAGGACGAGAAUGAGGAAUAAGAAACUGAGAACCAAGUGAAUCAUCAGAUUUCGAUAACCUAUUCAUCAGCUCUGCUUGUUCUCGGGGUAUUCUCUCAGAAUAAUAAACUCUUUGUGGAGGUGCAGAUGGUUCAACAUAGCUCAAGUCUAUCAAAUUAGAAACAGAAUCUGCACAGUCGAAACCAAAAAUACUACUAGAUGUAGAAAAUUGAUCAUCUUCACAAGAAUUAGGAACAUGCACUGGAUCAAUGGCAUCAACAGAGAAUGAGAUGCUUUCAGAUCCCCGUUGCUUUCCCUCAUUUUUUGAGGGCAUAGAAUGGAGAGCUCCUUCUUGUGCAGCAACUGCAACUGAUAUUUCAUCAACUGGAACAGCAGAAACCCUUUCUAUGGGAUGGCUUUUCCCUAUGUCAAUGCCAUGCUGAACUGAACCAUCAGGUAUUGGCCUAACCUCCUUUUCUAACAUCUGUGAAUUCUGCACCUGAAAGUUACUAUGUGACUGUCCUGCAUUCAUACCUCCUUGCUGAUUUGUAAGACUAUGAAGGGAGGUUGACUGAGGAAUUUCUUUGGGAGCGGAGUAAUUAGAAGAAUCAUUACGACAGUCUGCAAGGAAUUGCUGAGUUUCCCUAUUGUCCAUCAUCUGGCCAUGAUAAAAAUGUGGAUGGGAUUCAUGUGAAGUGGAGGAAUUUUGAAGAAUUGGUUGAGCAGAUUGAAAGGUGCUAGUCAAAGGUGAAGUAUUGAUCCCAACAGAGGCUGUUGCUGCCCGACUUGUCUCCCUGUCAAUGUUUAAUCCAUCUAGCUCAUUUAAAUUAUUUCCUGAAGAGCUUCCCAAACCAUGUAGGAUUGAGUUUCUUCUGGAUCUCAUAUCCAUGCCAUUAAUAGCAACUACAUAUUGAACCUCGGAAUCACCCUCCAUGCUGCCCAGGCCAAACUGAGCAUCCUCCAAAUCGCUCAUGGAGAAUAGAAACAUUCUAAGUUUUUGUGAUCCUUCCCUAUCAUCAACUUCAAUCCAUUCCUCCAUCAUAUUCCGUAAAUCUUCAUCACAUGAAACAGAAACCAAGGCAUCAAGAUCCUCUCCAGGAAGCUGAUAUUUUAUUACAUGAGGUUGAUUACAAAUUGCGAAAGUUUUCUGCUUAAGCUCCUGCCAAGAGAUAUCCCUCGAUAUACGUAUAAUACGUGUAUCCCCACCAACAUACCUGAGCUUUCCAUCACUAGGACGGGGUAGUAUUGUACCGCCAAAGCUGCAUAAAACCUUGAUCUUUGUAGACGAGCUACCAGAGGCUAUUGAGGAGCUAUAUCCGGGUAAAAGUUCUCGGCUUUCAUACUCUGCUGAAGUUUGUGGUACUGAAUGAACUAAUUCAUAGUUGCUCUUUUCUUCGUACAAAGAUAAAUUAGUUCUCUCGCCUUUUCUUGGACCAUUCUCUACUGAAUGGAGCAUUGAAAUAUCUGAACCAUUUUCAGACUCUAUAUGACUAGUUCCUAAAACGCCUUUAAGUUCCAUAAAACUUGUUCCAUGAUUGGGAUUGCCUAGAGAAUUUGGGAUGAGAGGUUUCUUAUGAUUAACUCGAUCUCGCAUAAAUUCAAGAGCAAACUCUUCACCUGUCUGUAUGGAGUAAUUAAGUACAGGUUUAACUUCUGGCGCAUUUAGAUCAGGGAGUCUCAUAUUAGUAUUUCUGCUGCUUGCAGGUUCCAGCAAAAUUGGGUGAGAUGCAGGCUGGAAUCUCUCUCUUCCAGGUUCCCUAGCAUUGUACUGAACUUUUUUAUGUACAUCUGAUUGCUCCAUUGGACUAUUUUUUGGAUUCUUCUCCAUUUAACUCAGACUGAUUGGGAUUAAUCCCAACACCAUGAAGAUUACAUGAAUCAUGAGUACAGAUAACCCAUCAUAGACACAACUAAAAUGAGAUGCGGAAAAGAUAAAAUUACAUGCAAAGUACUAAAACAGGAAAGGACCAUUGGUCGUUUUCCCAGGUCUAGUUGCCCUUAAAGAGAUCUCCAACAGCUCAGCAAUCCUAAAUUUGAUAAGGCAUGACAAGAGUCACAAAACAAAGAAGUACAUAAUCUUGAAAGCAUAAUAUGAUGCAAGCAUGUUAAAAUUUGAGGAAGACUUUCUGAGAAAGAGCACAGAAAAUAAGUAAUUUAAGAUGAGAAAUCUUGUCUUGUACCAAACCAGAGCAAGGACUUUGAAUGAAAGAGACAAGUGCAUGCAACGCAUAAGAAAUCCUCCCAGUAUAAAACAGUAGAAAGAAACUUUUGUUUGUGAUAUUUUGCCUAAUAGAUAACUUGACUUAUCAGUUACUAAAUCUUCAAGUUCCCAAAUUCUAUUGCAAGUCAAGAAAAAAACUUUACCAUUUGAAAUUCUUUUGCACCAAUGAAACCAGAUUUUAAAUUUAUAGCCCUAAUUACUCGAUCAUCAUAUGAUCUACAAGAUCAAGCAGAGAAAAGAAAAUCAGCAACUAUAUAUACAUAUACAUAUAUAUAUACCUGAAGCAAGUAGCAGAAAUUGUAUUUAUUCAAGAAGGAUUGCGUGAGCCACCAGCAGAAACUACUGUAUCUAAAGGAGAAAUUGUGUGCAUACGCAAACAAUAAUUAGAUGAUUUCAUUUUUUCUUGUUGCGCUUAUUUUCUUUCAUUUCCCUCUCUCCCGUCCUUAAUAAUUUUGAUUCUUUAUUUAUGCUUUUGUGCGUUCGUUCUACCUAUCGCCACGCUCUCUUUUUCUAUUGUGAUUUUUCUUUUAAGAAUAAAACAUGAUAAAAGAAAAAUGGCUUUCUUUUUCGCCCUUUUUAAAAAAUCUUUUGCAACUGUGCUUGCUAGCAGCAGCAACAGUCGAGCUUAUAGGAAAGCUAGCUGAAUUACGAGAUUGUCUCCAUGCAAGAAACUUAUUUACUUAAAUGCCACUGAUUUUGGUUUUUGAUUUCAACAUUUUAAUUAUGUUCAGGAAGAAAGAAUAUUAUUCUCAUCCCUCAAUCUCAUCUUGCAGCUGCUUUUUGUACAAAUUAUUAUCUUUUUCUUUUAUUUAUUGACAAAUUGUCAAAAGUAAUUAUUGCAUCAAAUUAGUGCUAUUUGCUGGCCCAUCAUUUUCCAAACAUUGCAUACUGAUUUUUCUUCACAUUCAAAUACAACGGCAACGUAUUGCAUCAUUAUUUGCAUAAAAGAUUUCCUUUUUCUUUCUUAAUCUUGUACUCGUUUUACAUAUAUUUUUAAUACUAAAAAACCAAGCAAAAAGACUUCAAUUUAUUUGAUCAAACAACGAUGGUGACCUAAACGCUAUUUUGUAGGCAUCAAAAUCCAUUACAAAAAUAAAUUUUAAAAAGAAUAAUUAUAAACUUUAAAUAGUGAGACCCAAAUAAUGAAGUUUUUAAUUCUUUCCUUAAUAACAUGAACCCAUUACAAAAUCAGAAAACUAUAAACCUAAAUAUAAUAUAUUGAGGGGAAAAAAAAGGAUCCGAAAUAAUUAAGUUCUUGAUAUCUUUCUGAAAUUACUUUGAUGUUUUGUUAUGGUGACCUUUGGUUUGGCCGGCAGCUAUCGACAUUACUCGUAAUCGACCAGCAAUUUCAGUGAAGGAUGGCCUGGCUGCAGGAUUUGGCGCCCAGCACUGCUCCAUCAACAUUUUCCAUUCAGCAUCACAAUUGCUUGGAAUGGUUGGCCUCAAUGUGUUAUUUACAAUUCCUCCUGCACGUCAGGGAAACAUAAACACACUUAUUAUGCAGCUAGACACUUGCAUGUACAACCAUUCCAGAUUACAUAAACAGCAGGUGUUCAUGCUUGGUCAAUUUUCCUGCAGUAAUCUGUAUUUCACAUGUUCCAGUUAGUUAAGUUAUUAACAACCACACAACACGACUAGAGGCUAACUGGACACUGAAAAUUAAGGCUUUUAGAUAAUUUUCCAAUGUGUUGUCCGAUAGGAUAUCUCAGUAAAUAAUCUUCAGGCUAAAAUGUGAAUGAAUAACUAACAUUCUAUAAUAGCACUCUUGAUCCUUGACAUGGUUCAAACUUAUGUUUGAUAUGGAGAGGUUUAUUUCAUUAGAAAGGACAACUAAUAAGCACCUACACUAGAUUGUGUUAGGUUUAUGUGACUGUCAGACGAUGCAAGUGACACCUUAAAAUUUGAGAACAUAAACUAUCAAACAAGCUGUCCCAAAGUGGUGCCAGGAUUUGUUCCAGCACAUAACUGUUUCAGAAUCAUUUUGGAACCACCAAGACAGACUGAAAACCGGAGUGGAUAAAGACAUAAGAGUAUUGGUAGCGCACCUAUGAUGGCACCGUAGUGCAUGUUGGCAUAUGGCUCCUCACCCGUGAGGAUCUCCCACAAGACGAUUCCAAAGGAGAAAACGUCAACCUGAGAAUCAAUUAGUGAUACCAGUAAAGUAACUAAAAUUUAGUAACCAGAAGAGCUCAAAGGUUUCAACAGUUAGCAACUUUUCUUUACUGGAGUCUAUUGAUAACGUAGAAAACCCAAGAGGUUGAGAUGAAAAUUUCACCAAGCAAUGUAAGAUACUACUAUCAUAGUUGUCGCAAACUCCUCCAUUAAUAUAUACAGGAGAAUCAUCUCUGCGAACUCUACAAAUAAGCUUUCUCUUUGUCUGAUGUGAAAAUUUAAUAGCAAAAGUGACACCUUUACCUUCUCUGACACCUUAUUGCUGCUACCAUUUAGCAGUUCUGGUGCCAUCCAUGGGAGAGUUCCCCGCACACCUCCAGAAACCAAGGUAUUUCGUUUAAUUUUUGACAGGCCAAAAUCGCCAACCUGUGACAUCAAUUGAAUUAAAAAGAUAUUUAAACUAUCAGAUAUUUUAGCGGGAUCAGUUUUCUCUUGAUUAAACUAGAAAUUACCUUGCAAAUAGGCCGCUGGGGAUCUUUCAAAUUUACAAGCAAGUUAUCACAUUUCAAAUCAAAAUGCACGAUAUUCUUUGAGUGCAAAUACUCCAUCCCAAAUGCUGCAUCCAUAGCUAUUAGAAGCCGCUUGCGACGAUCUAGAUACCUGCAAGUUAAGAUUGGAAGUUUGGAACAGAUAAGCAGAGGGAUAUGAGAGAACCAGCCACCUCAAGACUAAAUUGCAAACUAGCACACUGUAGAAGGAAAUGGAAUAAUCCACAAUCUUGUCCUUUUUUUUUCACAUCAAAUUCUUAGUCACGUUUCUGUAACAAAAUGACUAAUAUUGCAACAAUUAUCUGAAUAGAACUAAGAGAUCCUACAUACAGAAAUCAUUAGCAUGAGCCAAUAGAUGCCAAACUGAGGAUUCAAGAACUAAAGAAAUGAAAGAUUACCUAUCUUUCUUAAGCAAAACAUGCCUAAGAGAACCAUCAACCAUGUACUCUGCCACAGUCGCUAAUGUCCCUCCAGGUCCAUCUUGCACCACACCAUAAAAUGCCACCACAUUAGGAUGGUGAAGCUUUGAAAGGAUUUCAGCUUCCCGCCAGAACUCUGAUGUCUGAGGACGGAAAAUCAAUGUAUAUUACUUGUUAUCAUUAGGAUGAGAAAGUGGAAGAGGUGAAAUAGAACUAAUCUGAACUCUGAACCAUUAAAACUCAACUGAAGCCAAAGAACCAUGACAAUGCUGUAACCUUAAUUGGCUUUUUUAUACUGAUGGAUUAAAUGAUAAAACAAUCAAUAUGUAGCAAGUAAC
rnacentral:lncRNA from 1 species